CCCUACCCACCUUUAGUUACCACUCAGUUAAUCCACAUCAGAGGAUUAAUUCACUGAUUGGGUUAAGACUCUCCCAACCCAAUAAUUUCUCCUCUGAACCUUCUUGCAUUGUCUCCAUGCUUUUGGAGGACACCUCACAUCUAAACCAUAACACCUUGUUUCUUCAAAAACUUUCAUCCAAUGACUCCACAAUGCCAGGUUCUCCUAAGCCUCCUAAAUGUCAUCCUCCCUUACAGAUAUCCUUCAAUAUUCUCAACUUUCUUGCUCAGUAUUUCCUGUGUUGGUAAACUCAUCUAAUUUUACGAUUUUGAUGCCUCCUCUUUAAAACUGAGUCCUAAAUAUAUAUUCUCACUUCUGAGUUCUGACCCAAAGUUUCUUGCUGCAUUUUGGACAUCUGCAACUCAAUUUCAGAUGAAUAGCUGACAAUUUUGUUAUCCUUUCAAUAAAUUCCACUAUCUUUCUGCACUCCUCAUCUUUGUUAUACAGAUAGAGCUUUUAGAAUUCAAGUCUUAAGCACAUGAAAAUUAAGUCAUUAGGGAAACACAAAACCACAAUGAGAUAUCACUUCACACAGGAUAUCUUAUAAUAGUAAGACAGUAACAAAUGCUAUUGAGGAUAUAGAGAAAAAAAUAUAUUUCACAGGCAUGAACAUAAAAUUGUACAGCCAUUGGGAAAACAGUUUGGCAGUUUCUGAUAAUACUAAACAAAACUACCAUAAAACCCAGGAAUUCUACUCCUAGAUAUCUAUCCAAGAGAAAUGAAAAUGUGUGUCCACUCAAAUGUUCAUAGCAGCAUUAUUCAUAAUAGUCAAACACCUGAAGAACUCAAGCGUUGAACUGAUUAAUGGAUAAACUGUGGUAUUCCCAUAUAAUGAAGUAUUAUUCACACACAAAAAUGUUUAGAGUGCUGCUACAUGCUAUGAUGUGAAUAAAUUUUGAAAAUACUAUGCUAAGUAAAAGUAAGCCAGAUAAAAAGUCACAUAUGAUUCCAAGUAUACAUAUCCAGAAAGACCAAACUGAUAGAGAAAGUAGAUUAAAGGUUUCCUCGGGUUGGGGGUAGAAAUGCCAAAUAACUAAAUGGGCAUGGAGUGUCUUUACUGGAGGAGAUAAAAAAUAUUCUGAAACUGAUUUUUGGUUACCGCUAC
rnacentral:lncRNA from 1 species